AAAAAAAUAAUUUAGUUUAGAAGAAAAAAAAAUUAAAAUAUAUUUAUACAUAAAUAAAUAGAUUAUAUAUAUAUUUAUUUAUUGAUCAUAUGUAAAAAAUUGUCUACAAAAUUUAUAAUUUAAAUAAAAUAAAAAUAUACAAAGAAAAAAAGAUAUAAACAAUACAAAAUAAUAUAUUAUAUUCAUAAUAAAUAAUACAAAAAUGUUUUUUGAAAAUAUUAAGUAUUUUUUUUUUUA
rnacentral:tRNA from 1 species